rnacentral:sRNA from 1 species
GUCUACUACUUUGAUGGGAAGGUAUGUGGGAGUUUUCUUGGAUUGAAUUGUGGGGGCUUUUGUAAAAAUAGGAACAUUUUGGCCCAAUAAUUAGAAAAAAGGAACAUUUAGAAUGGGCUUAUAGGUUUGGGCAUAUGUUUGCAACAAAUAUGACGCUUUUGCCCUUCGUCUUCAACACCAUCGUCUUCAACACCAUUGUCCAGACAUCGAUUUUGACGAUUCAUAGUGUUAUUAACAACACCAUCGUCUUCAACAAAAUUUUCCAGCCAACAUGUCUAUUCUGAUUAACCCAAUCAAUCAAAAUAAAUGAUUUUUGAUUGAAGAAAUCUAAACCCUAAAGGGAUACUAUCUAGGGAACCCUUGGGUUCUAAUCUUAAACACUCCAAUUCAUUAUUAAUUCUAAACCAAAUUUGAUUUUUAUUGUCAAUAGAGUUCAUCAUCAUCGUCACCAACUAAUAACAGAGGAUUUGGAAAAGUAAUUCUAGAGAUCCAAACUAUCACCUUCGCUUCUCACUAUCGCUCAACUCACCAUCGUCGUUGAAACUCACCAUCGUCGCCAACGCUAAUUGGAGGUCGAGAUCUUGCCGUCUUUUUCAUCACGAGACAUGAUUCAUGAGUCACCGCCGUUGCUUCUUACCGUUGUCAAAAUCGUUGUUGUUGCAGGAGCUCAAUCACCAUUGUAGGUUCAGUGAGCCGGCCCGGGAGAAGCGUUGCCAAAAAAGAAUAAAGACAAAGGUAACAAAUAAACAAAGAAGACACAACAGUGAAUUCAUCUAAUCCAAAGUUGUAUGUGGUUUCCGAAAUGCUUCCUUUGUCUUGUUCCGAAUCUCUCUGUCGAUGAACUUGAAAAUGGUGUUUCACGUUCAUUCAAUAAAAAAUAACAACCAUAGUGUACACAGAGACUGAUAGUGAAAUAAAG